UAGAACAAUGUAGGUAAGGAAGUCGGCAAAAUGGAUCCGUAACUUCGGAAAAGGAUUGGCUCUGAGGGCUGGGUCGGAUGGGCUGGCGUAAGAAGCUGUUCCGGUUUUGGUGAGGACUGGGCGAGGCUUUCGGGCUUUACUCGGACCAUGCCGAGACCAGGCAGUAGACGACGUCAGCUGUGCUUGUCGUGUUUCGGCGCGGCAGCUUCGUCCGGCAACAAACAGCCAACUCAGAACUGGCACGGACUAGGGGAAUCCGACUGUCUAAUUAAAACAAAGCAUUGCGAUGGCUGUUGUUGCUCGUGUUGACGCAAUGUGAUUUCUGCCAGUGCUCUGAAUGUCAAAGUGAAGAAAUUCAAAUCAAGCGCGGGUAAACGGCGGGAGUGGACUACGACUCUCUUAGACGGGCCGCUUGAUGAUGGUGUGCUGGACUGAGAGACAAACCUGAGCGUGGCGUGGGCAGACCAGCCUGCUGUUACUUGGUGGACAUGCAGGUUAGGCCACUGCCACCUCGAGAUGGUGAAACUAUGCUAUGUUGAGGCAGAAGCUUGGCCGAAGCUUGGAUGACUGUUCAGUAAUGGCGGCUGGAUGCCGGGGGGCUCCAGUUCGAAAAAUGGCUCCACUACUGGGGAAACCUGGUAGAGGGUGAACAUUACUGAUCAGGAUUCCGGGCUAAAAGCUUUGCUUCUAGUGCGGAUGAUUGUGAGGAUUGUUCUGCCUUCGGAUUGGUGGCCCCCGCACGCCGGUUCGGUCUGGUGGUUCGAUUCUCACCGGAGGGAUCCUUGCUCCGUAGGUACGCCCUUGGAGUAGGGGGGGGAACUUCGCUCGAAUUGAAACACGGAUCAGGAUCGGGCCUGCACGCGCUAUGGUCGGGUGCGGCUCGAACUCUAAACAUACUUUCAUUUAGCUGGUCUCCGCUUAGGCGGGUCCGGGUUUCGAUUCGGAUGUUGAUGAUCGCAGGGUAAAGGCGCGAUGGCAGAGCUGGCUCGUCUUGGCGACGCCGGAGUGCUUAUCCCUGUCUGACAGUGUUGGUGCCUCCAAGUGGCGAGAGUCGGGCAACGGUGCGGUCGAGUGCGAUGUAUAUAUGUACUUUUUUAUUCUGUUUAUCUUUUAUUUUCACUUUAUUAACUUUUUUCUAACUUUAAUUUUAAUCGUUCUGGUAUUGUUACCUUUAUAUUUCUCAUUAUUAUUAUUAUUACUUACAUCGUACUCGGUCGUAGCGGCUAAAUCCCACUGUCUAAUCAGCUAGUUCCGGGUUAGCUCCCCGGUUCUGGCUUUGUGUCAUCCACAGGCUCCGAAGACUACUAAGAAAAAUUCGAACUCGGCCACUGCCGAGUCGCAGGGGUGACACCUGCACCUCCCCGAAAGGGGGUCAGGGGUGCCAGUUGGAGCUGUCCGGAUUGUGAGAGAGCGUUUUUCGACCCAAGACGGGGCUUGGAGUCCACCGCAGGGCUCGGCACCCUAGUAGUUUCCAUCAGCAGAAGUGUGAGGAAGUUGAGAAGCAGAGUAAGAAGACGGUGGACGGAUGAGGAGAAGCAUAUCCUAGCUAGAGCUGAGGCAGGGUUUAGCGGAGCCGAGGCAGGUAUUAAUGACUUAUUAGUAGCAGCAAAUAUUCUUCCGGGAAGGACUAAGGAGAGCAUUAAGGGGGCCAGAAAGGCGGCAGCUUAUAAGCUCUUGGUUGAGAAAUUUAGAGAGGAGCGUAGUACCGAGCUUGCGGGUCAGAGUGAGAGUGCUGGUACUAGGGACGUGGAGGAGAGUACGGCUAUUAGUGCUAGCGUUGGUAGUGAGAGUAGCCAGCAGAUGGAGUCCAGACCGGAAUUAACUACAAAACCCAAAAAAAACUAAUAUAAAGUACAGAAAAAAUCCAAAAAAAGAUGACAGAGUAGGCAACGCAGGUCCGUCCUCCUCCAUGGGGUCCGGGGCUUGCUCUCCAAGGUUGGAAGGUAUCCCGAGGUCGGGUCCGAAGAGGUGAAUAAGGUAGAGGCAGAGGCUAGCAGAGGUAUUAAUAGGAAAGCGGUAGAGUGGGUUCUUAGUAUCGAGCCGGUUAAGGGCUAUGAGAAGCAGUGCAGUGAGAUUAGAUUAGCGAUCGAAGGUGAGAAGUGGGUUGAGUGUAGUGAGCUCGUUGAGGCGUGUUUCCUUAGCUAUCGUGAUGAGAAGAAAAGUAACGCCAAGAGGCCAGUUAGAAAGAAGGCAGUUAAGAGAGAGCUGAAGAAUAGAGAGAAGCGCAGAAGAGCGUAUGGAGAGAUGCAGAGAAUUUAUAGUAAGGAUAGGAAGAAAGCAGCGGCUGCUGUUUUUAGUGGCGCGUGGAGGUUGUGGAGUGAGCCUAGAGAGGAGAAUAAGCAGUUUGAGAUCAGAAGAUGGAGUAUUGGAAGAGAGUUUUGGGCAGGGAGUCUGACCCGGAUGGUCGUCCGGUUAAGCCUCUGAGGGAGCCAGCUGUUGAGAUCGAGGAGCCGAUUAGUCUAGCAGAGUGCAAGAAAGCGCUGAGAGACCUUAAGCAGAC
rfam:Macrostomum lignano unitig_48330, whole genome shotgun sequence.